GCGAGAGUAGCCAAGCCUGGCCAAAGGCGCUGGACUUAAGAUCCAGUUACGCAGGUAUUCAAGGGUUCGAAUCCCUUCUCUCGCA
rnacentral:tRNA from 1 species